AUUGAACGCUGGCGGCAUGCUUUACACAUGCAAGUCGAACGGCAGCGCGGGCUUCGGCCUGGCGGCGAGUGGCGAACGGGUGAGUAAUGCAUCGGAACGUGCCCAGUAGUGGGGGAUAGCCCGGCGAAAGCCGGAUUAAUACCGCAUACGACCUGAGGGUGAAAGCGGGGGACCGAAAGGCCUCGCGCUAUUGGAGCGGCCGAAGUCGGAUUUGCUAGUUGGUGGGGUAAAGGCUUACCAAGGCGACGAUCCGUAGCUGGUCUGAGAGGACGACCAGCCACACUGGGACUGAGACACGGCCCAGACUCCUACGGGAGGCAGCAGUGGGGAAUUUUGGACAAUGGGGGCAACCCUGAUCCAGCCAUGCCGCGUGCGGGAAGAAGGCCUUCGGGUUGUAAACCGCUUUUGUUCGGGAAGAAAUCCUCUGGGCUAAUACCCCGGGGGGAUGACGGUACCGGAAGAAUAAGCACCGGCUAACUACGUG
rnacentral:rRNA from 1 species